AAAAAAGAAAAAAGAAAACACAACCACACACACAGCGCACACGGGCUCGCCUCCUCUCCCUCGCCCAUGAAGUCAUCGCCGCCGCCGCCGCCCAUGCCGGCUGCUUCCGGCGACCUCCGGCACAGGGCCGCACGCCCCAAGCUGCCCACGGUCCGCGCCUCCCUCUCCUCCAUCCAGACUCUCUGCUCCCGGCCUCUACAGCCCGCUCGCAACCACACACCCAUGGCUAGGGUUUCGGGCAUGGCUUUGCCGGCGCGUCUCCGGUGGUCCAAAGUUCGUCUUUCCUUCCUUCUUGGCUGAGAUCUACUUCCCCUACACCUCACCUUCUCUUCAUAUCCUCUGCUGGAGAUGUAGUUGGGGCAUGCCAUGGAAGUUCCCCAUCCACCACGGUCGCCGCCGUCAAGGGAUUCUUCAAGGAGAUGUCAAGGACGCCAUGGACAUGCAGCUCCUCAAGAUCAAUUAAAGAAUCAAUCUCAUGAUGGUUGAUGCUUGAUGCAGCGGAGGAUCACAGAUUCACAGAUGUAAGGAUCGGGAGAAUUGGGCCUCACAUUAAUUUUUUCCAGAAUUGGGUGUUGGUACUCUCUAAACUGAAUUGAGUGAGCUAAAUUUGUGCAUCAAAAAAGUAGUCUGUAGCUUUAUGUGUUACGUCUUAAGAUUGAACUUGAAGAUUGCCUUUGGGAGUAGUUUUAGUUGGUAGAUGUUUCAGGCUCCAAAUACGCACACAUUAUGUGCUUAAUGUGUGGCAUAAACAUGAUCAGUUUUAUGCUUAGAAACCAAAUCACUGUCCACCCAUUUUAUUUCUUCAUGAGUAUUUUGUGUUGAAAUCAGAUCACCGUUCACCUGUUCUCGUACUGUUGUCUUUAACUUAUUUUGCCGAUUCUUAAUAAAAUGCUCAGUUCAGGAUGUGAUUUUCAGUUUUAGGCAUUUGAUACUUUUGGCACUAGGCAAUUUUUUUCCUUUGAGCGUGUACCUUCAAAUGCAAAGUUCUGACUAUGAUUUCGCAUGCGACCACACCGUCAUCGGUCGCUCUGCCUAGCGAGUGCCACCCCGCCGCCUCCCCCCUCCCCCCACCUGGGACCUCACCGCCCGCUCUAUCUAAUAUAUUUUUCAGUUUUCUUAUAGUCGCCAAUACAAAUGUCCGCUUGAGUGUCAAAAAGGAGCAGUGAUAAUGAAAAAAGAGUAUGGGUUCGUUGCUACAUUAUAGUAGUUAUGUACAUCUCAAAUUUUCAGCCUAGGAUUUUUAUUUUGACUGAUGUGAGUAUUUCUUAGUCAGUCUUCAUAUUCCAGCUUCGACUGAAAAUAACUAUCCUGAAAAAAUACUCACAAUGUGGUCUGCAAAGAAACAUUUGAUGAUCUUGCUUGAUAACUUACCGGCGGGCAGAAAAUAUAUCAUGUUAGUACCAUUCAUAAGCAAACAUGUACCUUAUUUCUGCUUAGAUGUUCUCUGUUUCUUAUUUCAUAAGUGUUUGGCAUUCCCUAUAGAAGCUGACCGGCCAAAUUUAUGUUUACUACACUAGCAUAGUCUCUCAAGUACUGCACUCCUGCAGGCCACCCAACCCAUAUUUAAAAUUGGGCACUUUUAGUUCUGACUGCAGUCAUAUAGAUAUUCAUGUAUAAAAUGGCUUGCUUUUUGUUCUGGUUAAAUCCAGUGAUGGUGAUCUAGCUGAUCAUGCUUCUUAGCCGCUAUUAGCGGGCGAAGGCGAAGCGUGUACAAGUAUAUCUUUCCACAUAGAAAAUAAUUCAUCUACACAAGCCUUCAGAACAGGGUAGAUUUCCUAGAAGGCGACACCCAAUAGGUCAUUUCUGUACCCAGGUUUCUUUGCAAGCUUAGAAUUAUCAAAUUCUACUACAGUUUAUAUUUGAUGCAUGAAAUUGACCUCUUAGCAAUCACCGGUUCAACAAUCUUUGUAUUAUAUGCAACCAUCAGGCUUAUGCAUAUAAUCGUUCAGGUCCUGAUUUUUUAAAUUAAAUAUUCUUAAUGUUGAGCAUUUUGUGUCACGGAUUCAGUUCAUUAUUCAGGAUCACAAGAGUCCAAUUCUUAUGUGGUUCAGUAAGCACCAAUGAUAAUACGAGUUAGACGGCUAUACAACUCGACUUAUCUACUGAAACAAGAUGCUUAGCAGAUCAACAAGAUGCUUACAGAUAUAGAACAGCAGGAGGGUGAGGUGUGGGUAUAACGUGGCAAAUGAUAGACCCGGUGAACAAGGAAUGACAGUUGUGCAGAGGGUUAACGGGUGUGGUUACAACGUGACAAUAAGAGAAAGACCCGGUAAAGAAGGAUUGAACGUUGCGUGGGCUUUCCAUGUAUGAAUACUGCUGGCAGUGUUAUAGUGUGCUGAUAUGUGCUUUGUAAACAGCAUGCCAAGUGGUCCAUUAGAAAAGGGCUAGAUAGAUUAUCAAACAAUGAGGGAAGCGAGGGAGAUCUUGGGACGGUGGCGUAAUGAUUAGCCGUCUUCAAGUAGAAGAUCCGGACAACCAUAAGGGCGUGCGAUUUUUUUGCGAUGCAAUGCAUGGGCGCCACGACCGACCUCAACCUUCGGAUUUUACAGUACUGUAGUAUUCAUAGAAGUCUACUUUUUUGUUUGUAUUCGUAGUAAAUUAUAGUUAAUUGAUGACUAACCUGAUGAUGGAUUUACUGUCCUAUAGCUUCUAUAAUUUACCGCACUAUGAUUUUUUUGAUUGUUUGAAUUUACAGUGACCUUAUGUUUGAAUUUACACUACCCUGUUUGAAGUUCUACAAUCCUAUAACAUCUGUAAUUUAUAGUAGUAGCCUAAAGGUUGUGAAUUUUGUAUUUUACAGUGAUAGAUUUUACACUAUACAGUUACCUGAAUUUACAGUGCUACAUUUUUUACUGGAAGAACUAUUUGAAGGAGAUUGUGAGAGUACUGACCUACAGUUUGUCUUCUUGGUGUGACUGUAGUUUCCUGAUUGUGUAGCUAUUCUGUCCCCUUCUUCCUCCAUCCUCUUUCUUAUUCUUAUGUGAUCAUAAAGUACACAUUGUUACUGGUUGUUUCUCCUUAUUUUCACUGAAGUUCCAGUAUCUUUGUUGUGAUCUGGUUGUUACUGACUGGAAUUUUAGUAAAAUGAACACUGUAAAAUUCAUCAAAACUGAAUAUGUGACACACUUUAAAAGUUACUGUUUAUUCAUAGUGAGAUGACUGUAAAUUUCAAUUGAAGCCACUGUAUUUAAAGCUUCAUGACGAUGAAAUGUUUAGUAUGUGAUUA